rnacentral:sRNA from 2 species
CGCCCGUCAAACCAUGGGAGCUGGUAAUGCCCGAAGUCGGUUUAUUAAGAAACUGCCUAAGGCAGGACUGGUGACUGGGGUUAAGUCGUAACAAGGUAUCCCUACGAGAACGUGGGGAUGGAUUACCUCCUUUCUACGGAGUACACUUGUCUUUUAAUACUAUAAAAAGACUUAUAACCAAAAUCAAUAGACCUGUUUUAUUUAAUAUUGUCAUGGCUUUUAUUAAUAGGUCAAAAGCUAUAUAUCUAGUUUUGAGAGAACAUUUCUCUCAUAUGUUCUUUGAAAACUGAAUAGUAAAAUAUUUUUCGAUAUUUACAACGACAUCAAAAAUCAAAUUAAUGGUUAAUUUGUUUUGAUUCAUCGAGUAAGUCAUAUUAAUAAUAUGAUUCAUUGAAAUGUCUUAAAAUACACAUCUAAAACUAACAACAAUAGGAAAAUACUACUUUUAAAUAAGGAAGAGUUUGUGGUGGAUGCCUUGGGUCUGGAAGUCGAUGAAGGACGUGAUUACCUGCGAUAAGCCUCGUAGAGCUGGAAAUGUGCUAUGAAACGGGGAUUUCCGAAUGGGGAAACCUAACUAUGGUAAUGCAUAGUUGCUUAUGUCUGAAUACAUAGGACAUAACGCGAGACACCUUGUGAACUGAAACAUCUUAGUAGCAAGAGGAAAAGAAAAUAAAUAAUGAUUUCUUUAGUAGCGGCGAGCGAACGAGAAAGAGCCCAAACCAUUUUAAAUGGGGUUAUAGGACAGACUACAUAGAGUUACAAAAUUUAAUAAUAGCAGAAGCUUUUGGGAAGAAGCGGCACAGAAGGUGAUACCCCUGUAUGCGAAAUUAUUAAAUCUCUUGACUGUAUCCUGAGUAGGGCGGGGCACGUGAAACCCUGUCUGAAUUUGCCGGGACCACCCGGUAAGGCUAAAUACUAACCAGACACCGAUAGCGAACUA